AGGACGAACGCUGGCGGCGUGCUUAACACAUGCAAGUCGAGCGGUAAGGCCCUUUCGGGGGUACACGAGCGGCGAACGGGUGAGUAACACGUGGGUGACCUGCCCUUAGCUCUGGGAUAAGCCUGGGAAACCGGGUCUAAUACCGGAUAUGACCUCGCGAUGCAUGUCGUGGGGUGGAAAGCCUUGUGCGGCUAGGGAUGGGCCCGCGGCCUAUCAGCUUGUUGGUGGGGUGAUGGCCUACCAAGGCGACGACGGGU
rnacentral:rRNA from 1 species